AUGCAGUUCGACCAGACUCUGCAGAGAGUGCCGUUCAAUUCGAUCGAAAAUUUUCGGCCAACCACUUCUGAUGUCUACGGGUUUGGUCCUCGUAUCGAGCUUCCUCGUUUCGAUGGAUCCAAUCCCAAACUCCGGCAGACACGCAGCGAGGAUUACUUCAGAUUCUGGAACACACCAACGAACCAGUGGAUAUCUCUCGCUACGUCCUUGUUUGAAGGCCCAGCAGCUCGAUGGUUGGAGUCCGUUCGUCGGCGUGUACCCAAUGCAACCUGGGAUGAGUUUUGCAGGCUGUUGCAUAACAAAUUCGGCCGUAAUUUGCAUCAGUCUAUUCUGAGGAAGUUCUUCAGUAUACAACAAACAAGUACAGUCAAGGAUUAUGUGGAGCGCUUCGCUGAGUUGUUCGAUCAGUUAGCAGCCUAUUAG
rnacentral:rRNA from 1 species